GGGGCCCUGCCGUCCUGUGCGUGCCCUGCCAGCUUCCUCCCACAUCCGUCGUUGGUUGUGGUGGGACACUAGGAAACAACCCAGCGGCAUGGCGCACAGCCACACGUAGAACAGAGGGCCCAGUUGCUCGGCAGCUUGAGUGGGAAUGUGAGAAAAAUCAUGGGGAUUUCACAGCGCAGGUGGAGUUCGGCACAAACAACCUAGCGUGUCUUGCUAAUCAUUAGAGAUGGCACCUCUGUACAGUGUCAAGAAGUGGCAUUUCGGGGGCAUUUCCUCCUUUUUGAAAAAGACACGGUGCCGAUAAUAUAAAUUGUUUAAGUUCAAGAAGUACAACAGACCAACGCCAGCUUCCCAGCUAUGGAAAAUGUAUCAUCUAUCCAUCAUAUUCCUGUAUGAAUCACAAAUCGCCAUCCUGUGUGGGACGUCUUACAUUUAUACAUGACAAAACUGGAACUCGUCUCAAUACUUCUGUUUAUUUUAAUUAUUAAACUCCAAGGGGUUAGUGCCCAGCCACCUGAGCUCGAUGUAUUUAUUCAGGUGUACUCCAGUCGGAUUAUCUGAAUGAGGCUGUAAAUGAUCCCAUUGACUAUUAAAUACCCACUUGUCCAAGCAGGAACUGCAUACAUUCACAGACCUGGGUACCUGGAACUGGGAGGGACGCCUCUCUGGUUUUGCCGCUGAAAUGCUAGGCAGCUCCUUUGCUGGUGUUUGACUGCCCCAGGCCUUCAUGGAGGAGCUGACUCGAGCAGUCCUUUCCAGCUAACCCAGGCUCUCCAUGAACGGCCGGCCGCAUCCAAAGUCCAGAUGGAAAGCUGUCAACAAAGAGACUCCUUCCGCUCUGCCUACUGCAUGAUUCAUCCCUGGCAUGAAGACAGGCCCGGAGAUGGUCCCACCACCUUGACUCCCAUAGAAGUGAUAUGGAUGUGGCACCCUGGAUUCAUCAAAAUGGCCACAGAGAAGUUUGUCAGAAGGAACCAGAAGUGUGACAUCAACGAGAGAAGAAUUGCACAUGUGUUUGCAUCCACAGGCCUGCCUGAGUGUGUAAGUCUCUCACAAGUAUGACCCUUUCACACAGCCUGUAGAAAUUGUUUUCCAUGACGGCAUGAUGAAAAUAAAGUUGAAACUAUUAGUCCUUGAUGGACUUAAAUUUUUAAAAAGAAAAGUGGUGGUGGAGCACACCUUUAACCCCAGCACUCUGUGAGUUUGAGACAAGCCUGCUCUACAAAGCAAAUUCCAGGACAGCCAGGGCUAUCCAGAGAAACCCUGUCGGGAAAACCCCAAA